rnacentral:rRNA from 1 species
UACAGGGGGGGCAAGCGUUGUUCGGAAUUACUGGGCGUAAAGGGCUCGUAGGCGGCCAACUAAGUCACACGUGAAAUCCCCAGGCUUAACCUGGGAACUGCGUGUGAUACUGGCGGGCUUGAAUCCGGGAGAGGGAUGCGGAAUUCCAGGUGUAGCGGUGAAAUGCGUAGAUAUCUGGAGGAACACCGGUGGCGAAGGCGGCAUCCUGGACCGGCAUUGACGCUGAGGCGCGAAAGCUAGGGGAGCAAACGGG